GACGAACGCUGGCGGCGUGCCUAACACAUGCAAGUCGAACGAGAAUCUCUUUUUUGAUCCUUCGGGUGACGAAUUGAGAGGAAAGUGGCGGACGGGUGAGUAACGCGUGAGCAACCUGCCUCUGAGAGAGGGAUAGCUUAGGGAAACUUAAGGUAAUACCUCAUGACCCAUUUUUAUCGCAUGAUUUAGAUGUCAAAGAUUUAUCGCUCAGAGAUGGGCUCGCGUCCGAUUAGGUAGUUGGUGGGGUAACGGCCUACCAAGCCGACGAUCGGUAGCCGGACUGAGAGGUUGAACGGCCACAUUGGGACUGAGACACGGCCCAGACUCCUACGGGAGGCAGCAGUGGGGAAUAUUGCGCAAUGGGGGAAACCCUGACGCAGCAACGCCGCGUGAAGGAUGACGGUUUUCGGAUUGUAAACUUCAACAAUCAGGGACGAAGAAAGUGACGGUACCUGACUGAAGCCACGGCUAACUACGUGCCAGCAGCCGCAGUAACAC
rnacentral:rRNA from 1 species